rnacentral:rRNA from 1 species
UGGGGAAUAUUGCACAAUGGGCGCAAGCCUGAUGCAGCCAUGCCGCGUGUGUGAAGAAGGCCUUCGGGUUGUAAAGCACUUUCAGCGAGGAGGAAGGUGGUGAGCUUAAUACGCUCAUCAAUUGACGUUACUCGCAGAAGAAGCACCGGCUAACUCCGUGCCAGCAGCCGCGGUAAUACGGAGGGUGCAAGCGUUAAUCGGAAUUACUGGGCGUAAAGCGCACGCAGGCGGUUUGUUAAGUCAGAUGUGAAAUCCCCGGGCUCAACUGGGAACUGCAUUUGAAACUGGCAAGCUAGAGUCUCGUAGAGGGGGGUAGAAUUCCAGGUGUAGCGGUGAAAUGCGUAGAGAUCUGGAGGAAUACCGGUGGCGAAGGCGGCCCCCUGGACGAAGACUGACGCUCAGGUGCGAAAGCGUGGGGCAGCAAACAGGAUUAGAUACCCUGGUAGUCCACGCUGUAAACGAUGUCGAUUUUGGAGGUUGUGCCCUUGAGGCGUGGCUUCCGGAGCUAACG